GACGAACGCUGGCGGCGUGCUUAACACAUGCAAGUCGAACGGAAAGGCCUUUUCGGAGGUACUCGAGUGGCGAACGGGUGAGUAACACGUGGGUGAUCUGCCCUGCACUCUGGGAUAAGCCUGGGAAACUGGGUCUAAUACCGGAUAGGACCGCACUUUAGUGUGUGUGGUGGAAAGUUGUUUCGGUGUAGGAUGAGCCCGCGGCCUAUCAGCUUGUUGGUGGGGUAAUGGCCUACCAAGGCGGCGACGGGUAGCCGGACUGAGAGGUUGGUCGGCCACAUUGGGACUGAGAUACGGCCCAGACUCCUACGGGAGGCAGCAGUGGGGAAUAUUGCACAAUGGGCGCAAGCCUGAUGCAGCGACGCCGCGGGGGGGAUGACGGCCUUCGGGUUGUAAACUCCUUUCGCCAGGGACGAAGCGUUUUGUGACGGUACCUGGAGAAGAAGCACCGGCUAACUACGUG
rnacentral:rRNA from 1 species